CAACGCCGCGUGGGGGAUGAAGCUUUUCGGAGUGUAAACCCCUUUCGACCCGGAAGAAAGCCCGCAAGGGUUUGACCGGUACGGGUAUAAGAACGCCCCGGCUAACUACGUGC
rnacentral:rRNA from 1 species